ensembl:snRNA U6 U6 spliceosomal RNA
GUGCUCGUUUUAACAGCACAUAUACUAAAAUUGCAACAAUACAGAGAUGAGCAUGAUCCCUGCACAAGGAUGACAUGCAAAUUCCUAAAGUGUUCUGUAUUAAA